GCACCUCUAGCUCAGUUGGUAGAGCAGCUGACUCUUAAUCAGCGGGCCCAGGGUUCGAGUCCCUGGAGGUGCACCA
rnacentral:tRNA from 5 species